AGCUCCAAAAGCGUAUAUUAAAGUUGUUGCAGUUAAAAAGCUCGUAGUUGAACCUUGGGCUUGGUUAGCCGGUCCACCUUUUUGGUGUGUACUGGACCUAACCGAGCCUUUCCUUCUGGCUAACCUUCAUCCUUCUGGGUGUUGGCGAACCAGGACUUUUACUUUGAAAAAAUUAGAGUGUUCAAAGCAGGCCUUUGCUCGAAUAUAUUAGCAUGGAAUAAUAGAAUAGGACGUUAUGGUUCUAUUUUGUUGGUUUCUAGGACCAUCGUAAUGAUUAAUAGGGACGGUCGGGGGUAUCAGUAUUCAGUUGUCAGAGGUGAAAUUCUUGGAUUUACUGAAGACUAACUACUGCGAAAGCAUUUACCAAGGACGUUUUCA
rnacentral:rRNA from 1 species